rnacentral:snRNA from 1 species
GUGCUCGCUUCAGCAGCACAUGUACUAAAACUGGAUACAGAGAAGAUUAGUAUGGCCCGUGUGCAAGGAUUAGACGUAGAAAACUUUAAUACUUCAUU